GCUACCAACGCAGGAAGGAGAGUCAUCCUGAAGGCUGGUGUGAGCAGAAUCUAAUCGAGCGGCGGACGGGUUCCUUCGGCAUGCCAGCAGAUCACGGCAGUGGUACGGCGAUAGGAAAUCCAGCUCCGUCAACGGUGCCGUGGACGAACCUGAGCCGUCGGCACAGGACCUGCUACAGCAGAUGAUCCUCAGUAAGCUACCAUUGCUACAGCUCUCCAGCACAUCGGACGCCUGCUGCGCUUGAACAUGGGCGGUACCGACCCUUUCUUGCCAACGCGACCCGGUCAGAAGACUUCCUUGUCGACUUAGACGCUUUCACGAGACUGCCGUCCGAGUCACCGACGAGGCCGUCCGGCGUGGAGUACCGUUCGUAGCUCCUGGUUGACUGUCCUUCCCGUGACAUCUUUCACUUGCCAGGCGUUUGAACAGGUGGGAGGAAGUGUGCUGUUAUCGCCGACAGACCCCCCUUUAGACGUGGUGUCUCCCUUUUCUACUUCGAACAAACCUCAAGCUUGUUAAGCAGUAGCGCUACGAGCGCGGAAAAUAAAUGCGUAUCUUGACAGCUGCAAGCGGACAGAUUACGAUGCAGUGGGCUUCUGCAAGGAACGGCGGUGUAUGCAAAUAAACAUGAUGUUAAACAUGCUAAUCUUGUUAA